UGAAGAUUAUCAUUGAUGGUCCCAAUCCGACAACUGAAGCGGCCCCACACUAAAUAAAUCAAAAUUUCAGAGUAGCACAAUCCGACAACAUAACAAUCCGUCCCUACAAAUUAUAUAAAUUAGGUUUGGUGUUGGGAGAGGAUCUUGCCUGUACAUCCAUCAGUUCCUCCUCAGCAUGAUGGUGACAUAUUACUUCCAUAUGCUAGGCGUUGGACGCGUGGAAUUGAUAGGGAUACUGAGUCAUAUCAUGUUCUUAUCCCAAUUAGAGACCAGUUAGACCGCAUGACGGAGGAUCAGUUUCGAUGGACACCGUACAAUGACAUUUUACAUACACUGCCUCAUUGUUGUAUGGUCGAUGAGCCUCUAUGGAUGACAUGUGUCCCUAUGUUUUGCCUAGAGAUUGUUGAAGUGCACUCGCCUGAUAGAGUAAUGUGUCGGUUUGGUCAUUCCCAGCAUGUACUUGUGAUUCCUAGUUGGGGAAUCAACCACCACGUGCAUGAUCAGCGUAGGAGGCUUGGACCAGAGGUUCUUGAAAUGAUGGAUAAAUAUUUUCGUGAUUGGGAUAAUCGACAUCAGAGUUUAGCGGUUGAGCUAAAUGAUGGUACUAGCGGGGAAGGGUAUAGAUUAUGUUACAUGCGGCAUGGAAGAUUGCUUAUAGGUAGGCCUGCAUUAGAGGUUGAUGUAUCGUCAGGCUUUGUUCAUUCUGCUGGUUCUAGUAUUGCAAUGUCCAGAGGACUAUUUAAAUUGUAUAGUCUUGCAUUAUAGUGGCAGAGAGACACAACCUCAGCUUCACAUGGUGAAGAGGUAUCUCAGAUUGUUAAAGAUACAUUGCUUGUGGCCGGAAUAUAAUUUAGAGAGCCAUUUUUUUAGGGAGAUCCUUUAUUUGAACAUGUGCGUGCAAGGGGACCCAGACAUGGACGGAUGGGGCAUAGAGGUAGAGCUCGAGGACGCUUUCUAGGAUGUGGCGCUGGUGGUAUGCCUAUUCCUCCAGACAUAGAGGCAGACGUGAGAGUAGAGGCUGAUGAUUUGCAUGUUCAUCAGUUUGGCACGUAAGACAUCACGAAUUUAUUACAUAUGUCAUUUGAUCCUUAUUCAAGACCGACUCGAGAUGUAGAAGGAAUCGGACGUAUGAGCUAUGAAUCAACAAUAGAUGUUGGAGAUUAUAUACCCGAUAUGGCGGGCACAUCAGGUACUGUCCAUUGUGACCCGAAGAUACUACUAUUUAUAACACUCAAGAUUUUAUCGAAGGAUUGCUUGAUGAUCCGAUUGAGUCGCAGCACCAUUCAUGAAAUAAUCUGGUUCAUGCUACGUAAUUUGUGAUGUAUACUCAUCAUAUGUAUCACCAAAGAUAUCUGAACCAUCCGUGAGAUGAUCAAGAUAAGGAAUUUCAUGAUUACGAAUUGGGCUCAUGGACAUUGAUCUUGGCGAUCGAUUGAGAGUAAAAAAAUCAUCAUCACUAGAUGAUGCCUCAAAUGGAACAUUAUCUCCUGAUUCCUCAGUAUUAGCAAAUCAUCACUAUCACUAGCUGAAGGUGAUCCAUAAUUAGGA